rnacentral:rRNA from 1 species
UACGAAGGGGGCUAGCGUUGCUCGGAAUCACUGGGCGUAAAGGGUGCGUAGGCGGGUCUUUAAGUCAGGGGGGAAAUCCUGGAGCUCAACUCCAGAACUGCCUUUGAUACUGAAGAUCUUGAGUCCGGGAGGGGUGAGUGGAACUGCGAGUGUAGAGGUGAAAUUCGUAGAUAUUCGCAAGAACACCAGUGGCGAAGGCGGCUCACUGGCCCGGUACUGACGCUGAGGCACGAAAGCGUGGGGAGCAAACAGG